rnacentral:tRNA from 1 species
GUCAUUGUGGUCAAGUGGUUAAGGCGGUGGAUUCCCUGCAUAGGUUCAAAUCCUAUCGAUGAUG